rnacentral:rRNA from 1 species
GACGAACGCUGGCGGCGUGCUUAACACAUGCAAGUCGAACGGAAAGGCCCUGCUUUUGUGGGGUGCUCGAGUGGCGAACGGGUGAGUAACACGUGAGUAACCUGCCCUUGACUUUGGGAUAACUUCAGGAAACUGGGGCUAAUACCGGAUAGGAGCUCCUGCUGCAUGGUGGGGGUUGGAAAGUUUCGGCGGUUGGGGAUGGACUCGCGGCUUAUCAGCUUGUUGGUGGGGUAGUGGCUUACCAAGCCUUUGACGGGUAGCCGGCCUGAGAGGGUGGCCAGCCACAUUGGGACUGAGAUACGGCCCAGACUCCUACGGGCGGCAGCAGUGGGGAAUAUUGCGCAAUGGGCGGAAGCCUGAUGCAGCAACGCCGCGUGCGGGAUGACGGCCUUCGGGUUGUAAACCGCUUUCGCCUGUGACGAAGCGUGAGUGACGGUAAUGGGUAAAGAAGCACCGGCUAACUACGUG